AGCGGGAUGGUGUAAAGGUAGCACUAGUGACUCUGACUCACUCUGUACGGGUUCGAAUCCUGUUCCCGCUGCCA
rnacentral:tRNA from 2 species